CUUUACCAUGCGGGCAACCGUGAUAAGGAAACCCCGAGUGCCAGCACAGGCUGGCUGUCCGCCAGUUUAAAUAACUGGUGAAGAAAGGGCCGGGCAAGACCGGUGCCAGCCGCCGCGGUAAUACCGGCGGCUCGAGUGGUGGCCACUUUUAUUGGGCUUAAAGCGUUCGUAGCUGGGUUGUUAAGUCUCUUGGGAAAUCUGGCGGCUUAACCGUCAGGCGUCUAAGGGAUACUGGCAAUCUUGGAACCGGGAGAGGUGAGGGGUACGUUCGGGGGUAGGAGUGAAAUCCUGUAAUCCUCGAGGGACCACCUGUGGCGAAGGCGCCUCACCAGAACGGCUUCGACAGUGAGGGACGAAAGCU
rnacentral:rRNA from 1 species